AGCCAAUCACACUCACUGAUCGAAUCAGUAUGACUGUUAUCUUCCAUCAAUAGACUGAUUGAUUUAACAUGAUAUGAUCACACACAGCACUGUUCCACAGACACUCCACACAUCUUUAAAGAGCUUGUUUUCAUAUAAACAGAUGUGCAGAACUUUUUUGGGAAAUCAGAUCAAUAAACUCCAAGCUUUGAUUCAGCUAAUGGAGAUUUUCCUCCAGAAACAGGAAUCUGCUGCCGUUCAUUGAUGGGUAGUUGACGUGUCAUACUCCAUCUCUAAUUAUAGACUCCAUCUCGAAUUAAUUAUAAAUUACAUUUUAAAUGUCAUGUUGCAGAGCAGUGAAGACACAAAAUGAUUAGAAUCUAUAUUUGCAUAUAUUCUUAUUCAUUAUGGUUAUCUGCAUUCAUCUUGUAUAUAAAAUAUAUCUAAUUUGAAUGGCAGGCAGCAGAACCAUAAAGUAAGUGAACAUUCAGAGACAAGUUUAAUUCAGACGUUUGUAGCAGACAAUAAUGUGACUGUAGGCCCGAAACAAAAGAAUUCAUUCAUUCAUUCAUUCAUUCAUUCAUUCAUUCAUUCAUUCAUCUUCUAUGAUGGUUACAUCUAGGAUUUCUAAUCAGGCAUCAGACAUAACAACAAAAAGCGGUCUGAGGUCCAGCGAGGGUCACGUUACACACGGUUAGAUUUACUCUGAAAGCAGAAGUGAGUCCAUGUGCAGAGGAAGAACGCAAUGAUUUCAUCAUGAAUACCAGGGUCAAAGUGCAGAGUUAAAGAGCUCACCCUGAGCGUCUGGGUGUUCCUCAUCCCCAAAAUAUCAGACCUGUCUCUGUGUGAGGGAGGGUUUAUGACCCGACAUCUAUCACAGCAUGACAGGUGACUCAGAUUAAAUCAGCAUGAUGGAGUGUUUGCUCAGAUUCAGACUGUGCAUCCUCUGAUUUCUCGUCUGUUUUUAGUGGAUUUGUCACUUGUGGACGGUUCUGAGGAUUGUGUUUAUUUCGCUGGGAAUUCACCGGGUCUCCAGCCGAAAAACACCACAAAAAUACACGGAAGAGGAGCUGGAGAAAUGGGCCACAAUCGGUGUCCAUGGAUACCUGAAGGGGUCGCGACCUUGGGCCUGGGCUGAGGAUACCCUGGAGGAGCUGAUGGUGAAGAUCGUUGCUUUCCUUCUACAAACCGACUCCAAAACACUGUAAGAUUCUUCUCGAAGAGCAGACCUUUCCAUCAGAUCACGGAUGUGAACCUGAACUAAUGUUAACAUUAUUUUGAACAUAGGUUUGCAAUAAAAGCAUCGCUGUGUCUGUGUGAAUGUGCAGUACGCCGCUGAAUCUCAGAUCCAGCUGAGAGGACCGGAAGUGACCGACAGCAUGCAGCAGACAGGUGAUGACAUCACUUCCUCUCAGUAUGACGUAGGGCUGUGCGAAUUAUGGAAUGUGAUUAUCAUGUGCGUCUCUUUAGGAAAGCCGGUUCACUGACAAGCUACGCAAUAUCACGUUCAUAAUUGCAGAUGAUUGUUUGCACAGCCCUAGUGUGACGUCACGCAGACAGGAAGUGCUCUGAGAGCGUGUGGAUUGGACGGAGGACGUCGUGUCGGUCAUCGAGCGGGAGAGACGCAUCGCUCUGGUCAUGCUCAGCGGUGGUCAGUAUUACACCGGUCAGCUACUCCACAUGGAGGCCAUUACCAGAGCCGCACACACCAAGGUCAAACGGUCAUGCAGCACACUUGAAAUGUCAUCAGAGAUUAAGUGAUUAUACACCAGAAGUGGAUCAAAACCAAGCUGUCCUAAAACCAAAAUGUGUUCUUGGACUGAUGAACUUUUUUAUCCACUUCAAAUGUUGACUACUGUAUUCGCUUCUGUUGAGACACAUAUGAGUGUGAUUUCAACUUCAGUUAAAAAAAUACAUUUAACUAACCCAUAAUCCCCAAAAAAGAGAUCCACCAAUCAGUAGCUCCUGUUACCAUGAACAGGCUCAAUAACGACCGACCGUUCACUCAUUUUGGGGUUAGGGUUGUAGAUAGGUAAAUUUGUGUGUGU